AUCACUUCUUGGCUUUUUGGCUAAGAUCAAGUGUAGUAUCUAUCAAUCAAUCAAUCAAUCUAUCUAUCUAUCAUCUAUCUACCUAUAUCACUCAUUUUUGUCCAUUCAUUAACUGAGGGACACCUGGGCUGUUCCUCUAUCAUGGCUAUUGCAAAUAAUGCUGCUAUAAACAUAGAGGUGCAUG